AUAAGGGUACGUUCUGUACGCUUGUAACGAUUACACGAGUUAUUUAUGUUGUGCUCAGUACUAAAUAGUGCGGAAAUCAUAUCUUUUCCGGUGUAACAUCAAGCGCCGGCACGUCAGUCUGGAACGGAACAACCGAGAAGUCUGUGAGACAACGUCAGCCAAUAGUACGCUGACUAGGACCGCACCAAGAAGGAAGAGAAUAUAAGCGCCACUCCGCACUAGAAGAGCAGCAUUUGAAGACAGGCACUAACAGAGCCGCACUAGAAGACGAGAUGUCAUCGUAACUGUUUAGCUGAGACUUGUGAUCUAUAUCAAUUGCUUGCAUGGAAAUGCUAUCCGAGAUAACACCUUCCAAGGCACCUUAUAUUACACAUGUGGGUAGGAUCCCAUAUUGGCAAUGAGUUAUGAGAAGAACACAGUGCCUGGCAGCCAUGGAAUUCUCUUUUGUCUUUUUCUGGCGCCUUAAAUCUCCCUUGUCUCUUCUUUGCAGUUUCAGACUCGACAAGUUGCUAUAUUACCUUUUCGCCAGUCUUAUGAACAAGAAUAUGAGGGCCUCGAGAGGUUGCAGCAGUUUGACGCCCACACACUUGCUCACAUCAUACCAGAUUCACCAAUCCUGAGGACAGCGCAGCCAGAGCAUCCACCAUAGGGUGUCAACACGGGAUGAACCCUUUAGACAGAGCCUCCUCCACCUCCUCUCGUCCUACUGAU